GCCCUCGUCGUCUAAUGGUUAGGACGCCAGACUUCUAAUCUGGCGGUUGCGGGUUCAAGUCCCGCCGAGGGUA
rnacentral:tRNA from 1 species